CGCGGCCUAUCAGCUUGUUGGUGAGGUAAUGGCUCACCAAGGCGUCGACGGGUAGCCGGCCUGAGAGGGUGACCGGCCACACUGGGACUGAGACACGGCCCAGACUCCUACGGGAGGCAGCAGUGGGGAAUAUUGCACAAUGGGCGGAAGCCUGAUGCAGCAACGCCGCGCGAGGGAUGACGGCCUUCGGGUUGUAAACCUCUUUUAGCAGGGAAGAAGCGAAAGUGACGGUACCUGCAGAAAAAGCGCCGGCUAACUACGUGCCAGCAGCCGCGGUAAUACGUAGGGCGCAAGCGUUAUCCGGAAUUAUUGGGCGUAAAGAGCUCGUAGGCGGUUUGUCGCGUCUGCUGUGAAAUCCCGAGGCUCAACCUCGGGCCUGCAGUGGGUACGGGCAGACUAGGGUGCGGUAGGGGAGAUUGGAAUUCCUGGUGUAGCGGUGGAAUGCGCAGAUAUCAGGAGGAACACCGAUGGCGAAGGCAGAUCUCUGGGCCGUAACUGACGCUGAGGAGCGAAAGGGUGGGGAGCAAACAGGCUUAGAUACCCUGGUAGUCCACCCCGUAAACGUUGGGAACUAGUUGUGGGGUCCAUUCCACGGAUUCCGUGACGCAGCUAACGCAUUAAGUUCCCCGCCUGGGGAGUACGG
rnacentral:rRNA from 1 species